rnacentral:lncRNA from 1 species
GGAGGCUCCCGGGCCCGGGCUGCCCCAGGCAGGCUGGCCUUUAAGGGCGGCCCCCUGUCGCCCAAGGGGAGUCGUUCUCCCCUCGCUUCUUUUCUUACCUAACCCCCCCUACACACACACACACACACACACACACACACACACACGCUCUCACAGCUUGGCGUGUUGUUUAAAACAGGUGGAAGACCUCUGUAAUGAUAUUAUGCCUUUCAAUAAAAAUUUUAUGAGGUGUAUUUGAUUAUAGAUUAAUGUGUCCCUAAUAAAACGGACGGAUGGAGCAGCUCGGAGGGCCCCUCCCUCUACCGCACUCACACUCCCGGGCCAGCCACACGUCCUUGAUCCACCCCCUUUCCAGUCCCCCCCCCCCAUUUGCCUUGAGAGGUAAGGCCGGGCAGCCUUGAAUCUGAGAGAAAUGC